rnacentral:rRNA from 1 species
UACGAAAGGUGCAAGCGUUACUCGGAAUCACUGGGCGUAAAGCGCACGUAGGCGGACUCGUAGGUCAGUUGUGAAAUACCUGGGCUCAACCCGGGAACUGCAGCUGAAACCGCUUGUCUUGAAUACCUGAGAGGGUGGGGGAAUACCUGGUGGAGAAGUGAAAUUCGUAGAUAUUCGCAAGAACACCAGUGGCGAAGGCGGCUUACUGGUCCGGUUCUGACGCUGAGGCGCGAAAGCGUGGGGAGCAAACAGG